rnacentral:rRNA from 1 species
GGUUAAGCGACUAAGCGUACACGGUGGAUGCCCUGGCAGUCAGAGGCGAUGAAGGACGUGCUAAUCUGCGAUAAGCGUCGGUAAGGUGAUAUGAACCGUUAUAACCGGCGAUUUCCGAAUGGGGAAACCCAGUGUGAWUCGUCACACUAUCAUUAACUGAAUCCAUAGGUUAAUGAGGCGAACCGGGGGAACUGAAACAUCUAAGUACCCCGAGGAAAAGAAAUCAACCGAGAUUCCCCCAGUAGCGGCGAGCGAACGGGGAGCAGCCCAGAGCCUGAAUCAGUGUGUGUGUUAGUGGAAGCGUCUGGAAAGGCGCGCGAUACAGGGUGACAGCCCCGUACACAAAAAUGCACAUGCUGUGAGCUCGAUGAGUAGGGCGGGACACGUGGUAUCCUGUCUGAAUAUGGGGGGACCAUCCUCCAAGGCUAAAUACUCCUGACUGACCGAUAGUGAACCAGUACCGUGAGGGAAAGGCGAAAAGAACCCCGGCGAGGGGAGUGAAAAAGAACCUGAAACCGUGUACGUACAAGCAGUGGGAGCACGCUUAGGCGUGUGACUGCGUACCUUUUGUAUAAUGGGUCAGCGACUUAUAUUCUGUAGCAAGGUUAACCGAAUAGGGGAGCCGAAGGGAAACCGAGUCUUAACUGGGCGUUAAGUUGCAGGGUAUAGACCCGAAACCCGGUGAUCUAGCCAUGGGCAGGUUGAAGGUUGGGUAACACUAACUGGAGGACCGAACCGACUAAUGUUGAAAAAUUAGCGGAUGACUUGUGGCUGGGGGUGAAAGGCCAAUCAAACCGGGAGAUAGCUGGUUCUCCCCGAAAGCUAUUUAGGUAGCGCCUCGUGAAUUCAUCUCCGGGGGUAGAGCACUGUUUCGGCAAGGGGGUCAUCCCGACUUACCAACCCGAUGCAAACUGCGAAUACCGGAGAAUGUUAUCACGGGAGACACACGGCGGGUGCUAACGUCCGUCGUGAAGAGGGAAACAACCCAGACCGCCAGCUAAGGUCCCAAAGUCAUGGUUAAGUGGGAAACGAUGUGGGAAGGCCCAGACAGCCAGGAUGUUGGCUUAGAAGCAGCCAUCAUUUAAAGAAAGCGUAAUAGCUCACUGGUCGAGUCGGCCUGCGCGGAAGAUGUAACGGGGCUAAACCAUGCACCGAAGCUGCGGCAGCGACGCUUAUGCGUUGUUGGGUAGGGGAGCGUUCUGUAAGCCUGUGAAGGUGUGCUGUGAGGCAUGCUGGAGGUAUCAGAAGUGCGAAUGCUGACAUAAGUAACGAUAAAGCGGGUGAAAAGCCCGCUCGCCGGAAGACCAAGGGUUCCUGUCCAACGUUAAUCGGGGCAGGGUGAGUCGACCCCUAAGGCGAGGCCGAAAGGCGUAGUCGAUGGGAAACAGGUUAAUAUUCCUGUACUUGGUGUUACUGCGAAGGGGGGACGGAGAAGGCUAUGUUGGCCGGGCGACGGUUGUCCCGGUUUAAGCGUGUAGGCUGGUUUUCCAGGCAAAUCCGGAAAAUCAAGGCUGAGGCGUGAUGACGAGGCACUACGGUGCUGAAGCAACAAAUGCCCUGCUUCCAGGAAAAGCCUCUAAGCAUCAGGUAACAUCAAAUCGUACCCCAAACCGACACAGGUGGUCAGGUAGAGAAUACCAAGGCGCUUGAGAGAACUCGGGUGAAGGAACUAGGCAAAAUGGUGCCGUAACUUCGGGAGAAGGCACGCUGAUAUGUAGGUGAAGUCCCUCGCGGAUGGAGCUGAAAUCAGUCGAAGAUACCAGCUGGCUGCAACUGUUUAUUAAAAACACAGCACUGUGCAAACACGAAAGUGGACGUAUACGGUGUGACGCCUGCCCGGUGCCGGAAGGUUAAUUGAUGGGGUCAGCGCAAGCGAAGCUCUUGAUCGAAGCCCCGGUAAACGGCGGCCGUAACUAUAACGGUCCUAAGGUAGCGAAAUUCCUUGUCGGGUAAGUUCCGACCUGCACGAAUGGCGUAAUGAUGGCCAGGCUGUCUCCACCCGAGACUCAGUGAAAUUGAACUCGCUGUGAAGAUGCAGUGUACCCGCGGCAAGACGGAAAGACCCCGUGAACCUUUACUAUAGCUUGACACUGAACAUUGAGCCUUGAUGUGUAGGAUAGGUGGGAGGCUUAGAAGUGUGGACGCCAGUCUGCAUGGAGCCGACCUUGAAAUACCACCCUUUAAUGUUUGAUGUUCUAACGUUGACCCGUAAUCCGGGUUGCGGACAGUGUCUGGUGGGUAGUUUGACUGGGGCGGUCUCCUCCUAAAGAGUAACGGAGGAGCACGAAGGUUGGCUAAUCCUGGUCGGACAUCAGGAGGUUAGUGCAAUGGCAUAAGCCAGCUUGACUGCGAGCGUGACGGCGCGAGCAGGUGCGAAAGCAGGUCAUAGUGAUCCGGUGGUUCUGAAUGGAAGGGCCAUCGCUCAACGGAUAAAAGGUACUCCGGGGAUAACAGGCUGAUACCGCCCAAGAGUUCAUAUCGACGGCGGUGUUUGGCACCUCGAUGUCGGCUCAUCACAUCCUGGGGCUGAAGUAGGUCCCAAGGGUAUGGCUGUUCGCCAUUUAAAGUGGUACGCGAGCUGGGUUUAGAACGUCGUGAGACAGUUCGGUCCCUAUCUGCCGUGGGCGCUGGAGAACUGAGGGGGGCUGCUCCUAGUACGAGAGGACCGGAGUGGACGCAUCACUGGUGUUCGGGUUGUCAUGCCAAUGGCACUGCCCGGUAGCUAAAUGCGGAAGAGAUAAGUGCUGAAAGCAUCUAAGCACGAAACUUGCCCCGAGAUGAGUUCUCCCUGAC